GGGCCUAUAGUCGAUUCCACUUUUUAGGAAAAAGCGGCCAAAAACCGCUCCUUCAAAAGUUGCGGAAACGGUAAGACGUUCGCCUUACACGCGAAAGACACGAGGUUCAAUUCCUCGUGGGCCCA
rnacentral:tRNA from 1 species